GACAAGGACAAGGUUGUUGCUCACUUAAAGGGUGGUGCCAAGAAAGUCAUCAUUUCUGCUCCAAGCAAGGAUGCACCUAUGUUUGUGGUGGGAGUGAAUGAGCAUACAUACACAUCUGACAUCAAUAUUGUCUCCAAUGCUAGCUGCACCACCAACUGCCUUGCCCCUCUUGCAAAGGUCAUUCAUGAUAGAUUUGGAAUUGCGGAAGGUUUGAUGACGACUGUGCAUUCCAUCACUGGUAAUGUGUCUUUCAAGUUUAAAAUCGCAUCUUUACAUAUAUAGUUGGUAUAUAUGUAUUUA